rnacentral:tRNA from 1 species
GGUAGCAUGGCUGAUUUAAGCGGUAGUCUGUAAAAUUACGCAAAGGGUGAAUACCCUUACUACCA